rnacentral:rRNA from 1 species
UACGUAGGGUGCGAGCGUUGUCCGGAAUUAUUGGGCGUAAAGAGCUCGUAGGCGGUGUGUCACGUCGGCCGUGAAAACCUGGGGCUUAACUCUGGGCGUGCGGUCGAUACGGGCAUCACUAGAGUUCGGCAGGGGAGACUGGAAUUCCUGGUGUAGCGGUGAAAUGCGCAGAUAUCAGGAGGAACACCGGUGGCGAAGGCGGGUCUCUGGGCCGAUACUGACGCUGAGGAGCGAAAGCGUGGGGAGCGAACAGG